rnacentral:tRNA from 1 species
GCAGUCGUAGCUCAGUUGGUUAGAGCACCACGUUGACAUCGUGGGGGUCAGAAGUUCGAGUCUUCUCGAUUGCA